CAGUGGGUUAAGCGCAGGUGGCGCAAAGCACAAGGACCAGCAUAAGGAUCCCGGUUCGAACCCCGGCUCUCCACCUGCAGGGGAGUCGCUUCACAGGCGGUGAAGCAGGUCUGCAGGUGUCUAUCUUUCUCUCCUCCUCUCUGUCUUCCCCUCCUCUCUCCAUUUCUCUCUGUCCUAUCCAACAAUGACAACAACAAUAAUAACUACAACAAUAAAACAACACGGGCAACAAAAGGGAAUAAAAUAAAUAAAAUAAAUAUUUAAAAAAAAAGAAAAAAAAAAAGAAGCUGAGACCCGAAACCUGAAGCAUAGACUUUUAACCCCUUAGUAGUGACCACAAUCAAGUCAAUAUUCCAGUAAAAGUUUUUGAUAAUCAUAUUUUUUUUUCUUGUGGAUGACUAAAGUUUUUACUGGUGAUGAAAAUCUGUAAUAUAAUUUCCCAUGUAGGCUAAAUCAAAGCUUUUUCCCAUCACCCUGAGGUGGGAGAUGGAGUGUGUAACAGCCUUACAACAUUCUAUUUUGCAGGCUUUCUCAGUAGUUCCUGGCUUGGCCUUUCCACCUUUCCCCCCAGCCCUGUCAUUAUCUCAUGAGAGGGCAAAUCUAAACAAACUGAUCAUCUAGCAUAAGUCAGUGGUAAAAGCAAAAUCACUAACAAAAUAAAACAUAAAAGCAGUUAUUUUACCCCAAACCUAACAGCACAGUUGAGAUGCAAAAUUUGUACAAGAGAAAUGUAGCACUGAAAAAGUGAAGCCAGGUUGGAUGACUAUGAAAGACAACAAAUAACAAAAACCAGUUUUCUAAUCUGUGAAAAAUAGGGCUGUGUCUUUGAGAAGAAAAUAGUGAGAAAUACUAAAAAUACUAACUAUUUUUUAUUGCCACCAGGGUUAUCGCCUGUACAAUGAAUCCACAGCUCUUGGGCCCUCUUUUUAUUCUUUCUUCUCUACUAUGUAAGACAGAGAAAAGCUGAAAGGGGGAGAGAGAGAUAGAGAGGAAGAGAAAAAGGGAGACACUUGUAGACUUGCUUCACUGUUGUUGAAACGUCUUCUUCUCUGAAGUGAUGCUGAUGGCUAUUUUGACCUUCAAGAACUCUGGCCUGUGAGGCUAAGAGCUAAUGUGUACUUGCAUCGAUCUGUGUUGGAGACACACAGCAGGUUAGAGGGCCUGUUCUCCAUGAGUACAAAAGCUGCUAUCGUCAAUCAGUAUGUGUUGUGAAAAGGGGCUUGCCGCUGUGACUCAAUAAAUGGGGACAUUAGGAGGAAAUGUUAUAAUUGCUGCUACCCACAUCUUGUUAAUGAGUAAUGUACAGUUAGACUCCAUGCAAUUGCAGCUAAACUGUUUAUACAAUUUAUUCUUAUGUUGCAACUAACAUUUAACAUAAUGAAGUAUCAUAAUUGCAACCAUUAAAGUCAAGAUUAAGAUUUGUUUAAUUAGAAUUAAGAAAAUGUAAAAUAGGAAACUACUUUCAAAUGCUGGGUCUACAGGAUGGAUUCAAUGGUAUGGGGAGGGGAGACUCAUAGGGCACAGGACUGUAAACACAGGACUGUUUGUUGGAGGUCUCUUCUUUGGAUUUUGUUUUUCAAUGCUCUAGUCAAAAGUUUAAAGAAAACAAAACAUAAAGGGUAUUCACUUGGCCAUGAGUAGAGUGUUAUUAUUCAGAUCGUUAGAAUUGUAGCUUUUUAAAUUCCAGAAUUUACAUUACCUCAAGGCAAAACAAAUAAUAUCUUAAAACACACAACUCACAUAACCAUCAACGCAAGUUAUCCAAUGAAUUAGGAAGGAAAUAAGCCUCUGACUUUGUAUAGAAAAUGUCAUAACUUUGUAAAGCCAAAUGGACAUAAACCUCUAUUUUAAUUAUCUGCAUGUCCAAGCACAGGCACUUAUAUAAUAUGAUAUUUUUAUAUAAGCGAAGGGACAAAACAUGGCUAAUGGAAUGUUGUGAGGAAAUGUGGCUGUCCAAAUCCAUUAAGUGAAACCAUUUCAUUGAGGUCAUGUCCUGUUUCCCUUCCUUUAAAUGCUGAACAGUUAGAUUCAAGGUGCUCCCCACAACAGAGUUAUGCUGGGUUUUCUCUGUCUCAGAACUAUUUGUUCAUAUUCUAAUAGCACCCAUUUCUUUCUCUCUCUCUCUCUCUCCUGCUCUCUUUUAACUUUUUAAAAAUUAUCAUUAUUUAUUGGAUAGAGAUAGUCAGAAAUCGAAAGGGUAGGAAGAGGGAGAGGGAGAGGGGGAGAGGGAGAGGGAGAGAGAGAGAGAGAGAGAGAGAGAGAGAGACUUGCAGUACUGCUUCAUCACUUGCAAAGCUUUCCCCUUGCAGGCGAGGACUAGAGUCUUGAACUUGGGUCCUUGCACACUGUAACAUGUGUGCUCAACCAGCUGCACCACCACCUGGCCCCUCUUUCUCUUCCUUCCUUCCUUCCUUCCUCCCUUCCUUCCUUCCUUCCUUCCUUCCUUUUUUUUUUCUUUUAUUUUUUGUCACCAUGGCUUUACUGCUCUGAUAGGAGGUAGAGACAGAGAGACAAGGAGAGGAGGGAAAGAUACCAUCGUACUGAAGAUUCCUCACAUACAGUGGAGACGGGGACUUGAACCAGGUCGGAUGAUGCUAUAAGAGGCCCAGGAAAGGGGCUCUGGGUCUGUGAAAGGAGCUCUGGCCUAUUUAGGCAUCUUGUAUCACAUUCUCUGAAAUCUCAUGCCUUUGUUAAGCACUGAGGUUGUCUCCUCAAAAUGUGAGGAUUCUUUAAAUGCUUACAUAGUUGAAGAUACUCUGAAAUGUGAACAUACCCUGUGAAUGCAAUUUGUGAUUCAGUUCAAUGAGAAUGAGAGAUACCAGUUUCACUAACUGAAUCCUUAUCUCCUUGAAUGGAGUAAAAAUGGGUAAUUUUGCAUUAUUCUCAAAAGAAACACCUUAAUAUUCUUUUUUCUUACAUCUUAUAUCUAUAAUACUGAGGAGGUGCUCAAUGUCAGUCAAGUUAUCAGUUCCAUCAAUAAUAAUAUCAAGUCUUUGGUAUAAACAUUAAAUCAAAUUUAAGCAAGCACUGCUAAUUAUCUCAAAGAAAACAAAGAUCAUUCAUACCUCCCAAUUUGUUUUUAAGUAAAACUGUAAAAUACUAUAAAAGGAAAAAGCAAGAGAUGACUUGAGUUUUGUGGUAAUGUACAGUUCAAGAUAAUGGUGUUUGAGAAUGCUAAUCUGAUUGGCUUGAAGUUACAGUGUGUAUGCAGUGAUUGAUAUCAGAUUUCAUGACUUACCAUGGCAUUUAUUUGUAUAGCCUUUUUCUUUUUCCUUCCACUAAACUUAAAAUGACAAGUUACUUUCUGUAUAUAUUUACAGUGUUAUAUAUUAUUUGAACUUAUCAACUUGUAGAAACACUUAUGUAUUUCAUAUUGCAAAUAGAAAUAAAUGAAUUCAUUUAA